rnacentral:lncRNA from 1 species
UAUCAAUGUACAGAUAGAUUGGUCGCAUUAGCACGAAAAUGUAGAUCACAUAACCAUUGGCUAAUGAGAUGAUGACAAAUGUAUGAGCCUCAGCAGCCCCUAAGAGGCAAUGAGAACAACCAUAAUACAGAUUGGUGCUUCAGUUGUGUGAUACCACGUGUAGUGAUCUUGGCAUUUCAAAUGGCAUCAGUUAAAAAUAUGAAGCAUGAAUCAUCAUAAAGCCAGCAACAGCAAUGCCAAAUCCAGCUCCCUAAAUAGUUCUAAAAUUCAGACCGGAGGAAACCUUGAAAUAGAGCACAUGCAGAUCCAAAAAACAACUAGAUGAACGCUGAUGAAGCCACUAAAGAACAACCAACCCAUGUGGGCACAGAUCCACUAACAAGCAUGCAUAGUUUCCCUCACACAGGCACAAUCUCAACAGCCGCCCACGCAUGGCCUCACCCGCCGACGAGCAAACCUAAAACAUCCGGUACGCAAUGGACUGCCUCCCACGAACACCAACAGCGAACCCAAAAAUGGCCCAGCAUCAAAAUACCCAACAAGCAGCGGAUUAAAAACAGCACAAGGCGGUACGAACUAACAGCGCACACAUACCAGAGCUCGCCGCCGCCGAGGACAGAUCCAACCACACCGGCCCCCUCCGCUGUUUCUCAAGGGUGAGGACAAAAAUCAGAGCGCUGAGCUAUGUGGAGAGGAACAUAGCUCUGUUAGAAAGGGUGAAUACGAACUUGAUGCUCACCGAACAGCAGUGGCGCGGCCGAAGCUUCCGUGAGGAAGAAGAGAUGAGAGGAUUUUAAAUUAGCAAAAAAAUAAUUCGUCGGGCGGGCAACAAAAGGCAAAAGGCUAAAAAACUGAAGGAGCUCAUCACGCGAAUCUCAAAGAGAGAUCGUGCGGCCACACAGUCGUCUAGUUUAAAAAAAAAACCAGGCGCCUGGUGUAUAGCAAAUCCGAUAUAACAAACCCCCAUUUCGCUCAAAAAAAAUAAAAAACCCCGUUAGAUUAGGGUUUCAUCGCAAUAUCCCACCGCCGCGCCGCACCUCUUCGCUCCCCUCCGCUCAUGGCGACCGAGGAAGUUGAGUAUGCUGCUGCAUCCCACGCCAAGAUCAGACGCCUGAUUGGGUGGCCUAAGCGCCCUUUGAGAUUGGACUCGAAAAGGGUAAGAUACCGGAAAGGGACUUCGGCCCGAAGGGAGAGCCCGGUUCAGAAACAGACAAGACAGCUUCGGCCCGCUAGGGAGCGCUUGCUUUCUGGUUCGGGAACAGACAGUUCCGUCCCGAAGGGCGAGCCCUGUUCGGAAACAAUCACAUGGGCUCGGGUAGGUGUAAAGAAAAAGAUGGGCCCCAAGAUUGGGGAUGGGGUUGACUUCGGCCCGAAGGGAGAGCCCGGGUUCGGGCAUGGGUUCGGAUUGGUGGGAAAAACAGGCAGCGGAUUAGCUUGACGAGAUGGAGCCGGAGUUGCAACCGGACACGAUUCAAGGGGAUACGGUUUGAUUGAGAAACGGUUUUUUCGCUAUACUAGCACGUCCAGAAUCGUGAGUCAAGGGGUCUUGACGAUAGAUUGUACGUUUGAUGUGUUAAACGGUUGUUUAAACAGGGGUUUAUUAGUCAAUGCGUGCGGGUGGGUGUGUGUGCGCGUCAUGCGCACACGCGUAACGGGUGCGAGCUAUAACCGCACGCAUACACACAGGCAUGUGCACUCGAGCUAUAACCGCACGCAUGCAUACCCGCGUAUGUGCUUGCGUGCAUAUGCGCAUGAUAAUAGCUAGUCCAUAUUAUGGACUAGCUAUUAUUCCUGCAUGCGUGGAAAGAAGGGAUUUUUACAUCUAAUAAACACGUAUAGAUACUAACAUAGUAAACGAUUAACCAUAGAAUCCAUAGUAUAACAUAGUAUAACAUAGGUUCUUUAUUCUUUUUUAGAAUGAAAUUAGGAAGGAUUAUGAAAUAAAAAAUUAAUAAUUUUUUUAGAAUUAUUGUGAAUCCAUUCUAAUUGAAUCUUGAGUAAUCAAAUCCUUCAAUUCAAAGUACUUGAGAUCUUUUAAAAAGUGGAUUAAUUGGACGAGGACAAAGAGAGAGUCCCAUUCUACAUGUCAAUACUGACAACAAUGAAAUUUCGAGUAAAAGGAAAAUCCGUCGACUUUAUAAGUUGUGAGGGUUCAAGUCCCUCUAUCCCCAAAUCCUUUUUAUUCCCCAACUAUCCUCUUUUAUUCCCUAACUUUUAUCCUCUUUUUUUCUUUUUAUCAAUGGGUUUAAGAUUCAUUAGCUUUCUCAUUCUACUCUUUCACAAAGGAGUGCGAAGAGAACUCAAUGGAUCUUAUCCUAUUCAUCGAAUAGAUUUCUUUUUUAUUAGAGUAUCCGCAAGGACUCUCGGUUAUUAACUCUAU